AUGUCCCUACAUGCUGUUGGAGUAACUGUCCGGGUGUGGUUCCUGGUAAACAAAAAAGAACUCAGAAGGGCUCCGGUGGAAGAUGUUACAGCCUUGACCUGUUUCCACGAGGCUUCCUUGUGUCCCUCCUCGUGUCUCGGAUUCGAAAGGGCUGUGUAUGAGACAGACAAUAUCCAAACCAAAGUGAAGCUAUCUUUAAAUGCCUCCAAAGCUUGGAAACCCAAGGUUGUCCUGAGGUAAGAGGCCAUAGAAGAGAGAAUUCUUUCUCUUAUUUUCUCUGUGCUUUGGCAGUAUGUACCAGCUCACCCUUUGAAUUCUGAGACUUAGAAGUUCAACUCUUCUGCUGGGUAGCUCUUUCUGCAAACAAUAUGAACCCAAACAGCAGAUUAAUCUCCAAGCGGUUAAUGAGCAUUUCUAAAGGAGAUGACUGAGAGAAAGGUGCAUUAUCUUCCUAAAGAAAAAAAUAGGCGGUUUGCCAGAAAAAUGUAAAAUGCUGUCCAUCAACGUCAGCUGCAAUGCGCAUCUUGCUCUUGCAGCUUGUCCCGGCGACUUCUUUCAGGCCUUUGAGUAAAACUUAGAAAAAGUUGUAUUUCAAGGAAUUGCCCUGGAAAUCUUUGAUUCAUUGCUGGUGUUUGGGAUUUGUGAGAGGUACUAUAAUUACAUAUGUUAUUACUCUUGCAAUAUUUUGUAUUACGUUACUGCAUGUUUAUAGACCAAAACGUUAUAGACAGAUAGAACGCAGCCUGAGAAGGAGGGGAGACGUAAAUCAAGGUAUAAAACUGCCCUGAAUAAUAUUUUAUGUUUCACUAUAUUGACCUGGAAUUACAGGAUAAAGACAUUUUCCACUGCUGCACUGUUUUUUUUUUCUUUCCUAUUUUCUCUGUGUGUCUGUUUCAGGCUUGUUGGAGUUCUUCAUUAAGUCCAGAAUCUGUAUCAAAUGAGCUGUAGUGUGCUGCAGCACAUAAAGGUUUCAAAGCAACAAUUACUCUAUUAUUUCAGCAGAGAUUACCUGUUUGAAAUGAAACCCACACUGAAUCCUUUCUGACCUGGUCCUUAUUGUGAUACUGAUAACGAGCCACACUUUCCAGUCUUUAUCUUACCUCCUACCGGGCAAUCUUUUCUUCUGGAGCUUAAUUCUGCUAAUAGCACCCUUGACUGGUUGCCAGACAA
rnacentral:lncRNA from 1 species